GCCCCGGCCGCGCUCUGACGGGCCUCUCUCCCAGGGACACUUCCCGUAUCCCGACGCUUCGGCCUGGACGGACGAGGAGCUCGGCAUCCCUCCGGACGAUGAGGAAUAGCAGCACACCGCUCAAAACCAAAAGCUUCUACUACUGCUGAAGGUAGCAUUGAGGAGGUCCUUCUGCUCUGCCUGGUGGGAAAAGGAUGAAUGAAAAGGUUCUCAGGUUUUUCUUCUGUUACUUUCAGGUUCCUGGAACUAAAUGAGGCCCCUAGAACCAAAUCUUUGUCUCCUGGGUCCUUAUGUCAAUAAAACUGUAAACAAAGUUGAA